rnacentral:rRNA from 1 species
CGGCGGACGGGUGAGUAACACGUGGGUAACCUACCUAUAAGACUGGGACAACUUCGGGAAACCGGAGCUAAUACCGGAUAAUAUGUUGAACCGCAUGGUUCAAUAGUGAAAGAUGGUUUUACUAUCACUUAUAGAUGGACCCGCGCCGUAUUAGCUAGUUGGUGAGGUAACGGCUCACCAAGGCAACGAUACGUAGCCGACCUGAGAGGGUGAUCGGCCACACUGGAACUGAGACACGGUCCAG